AGAAGGAAGAGAAGGCAAGUUUUAUAGCGGUUUAAGAUGGAGGACUCCCCAUAUCAAUACGAUUGCGAGGGAGCAGUAAGAAUAGGCGUCACAACUGGGAACAACACUGGGGUCUUACAAAGGUCGUAGACGCCCUAGAAGGAAGCAGGUUCGGUAAGGAAGGAAUAGAGCAUCCCCCGCAAGACUGGUGAAUCCAAAGGAGUCGGGGGCACUACUGGCUGUUGUACACUUGUACUAAACAUCAGGGACAAACGGUUCGAGGUGUUAGACUCGGUAAGGACGCUGAAAGACAAGGCAUUUCUCGCUACUGCCAACAAAAUUAUGGAGGGAUUAAAGCAAACUGGGAGAGGCACUAUGAGAAAUCAAGCGUGCAGAUUAAUGACUGGGAACUUCAAGAAAUUCGAUGCCCAAAGCAGGACA